CACAUUUGUGCAGGGGACACAUGCCACAUGCCGCUCUCCAGCCUUCUAGGAGUAUUCAUGGCCUUCGUCUUCUCUGGAUCCACUGUGGCCCAGAGAGUCACUCAAGGCCGAACAGCCACAUCCAUGCAAGAGGGGGCAACAGUCACCCUGGACUGUGUAUAUGAAACCAGUUGGAGUGCAUACUACAUUUUUUGGUAUAAGCACCUUCCCAAUGGAGAGAUCGUUUUCCUUAUUCGUCAGGAUUUGUAUAGCCCGAUUGCAAAGAAUGGCCGCUAUUCUACAAACUUACAGAAAGCAGCUAAAUUCAUCACUCUCACCAUUUCAUCCUUACGGCUGGAAGAUUCAGCAAAGUAUUUCUGUGCUCUCUAUGAACACACAGUGUUUGAAGUGAUAGUAAAAGCAGAACAAAAACCCCAGAGCUCAAUAAGAGAGAGCCCGCCUGCUGCAGGGCCCAGCUGA